rnacentral:rRNA from 1 species
AAUUACCCAAUCCUGACACAGGGAGGUAGUGACAAGAAAUAACAAUACAGGGCUUAAAGUCUUGUAAUUGGAAUGAUGGGAAUCUAAACCCUUCCCAGAGUAUCAAUUGGAGGGCAAGUCUGGUGCCAGCAGCCGCGGUAAUUCCAGCUCCAAUAGCGUAUAUUAAAGUUGUUGCAGUUAAGAAGCUCGUAGUUGAAUUUCUGCCUUGUCAUUAAUCUCGCUUCCGAGCGUUUUUUUAUUGACUUGGCAUCUUCCGGAUUUGGUGCCUUCGGGUACUAUUUUCCAGGAUUUACUUUGAGAAAACUAGAGUGUUUCAAACAGGCAUUCGCCUUGAAUACUACAGCAUGGAAUAAUGAAGUAGGACUUUGGUUCUAUUUUGUUGGUUAUUGAGCCAGAGUAAUGGUUAAUAGGAGCAGUUGGGGGCAUUCGUAUUUAA